UCGGAACCCGCCCACUCGGACCGUCUCCGGCCGAUUACUUAUUCACAGCAUCCGCUUCCACUUUGCGAGAUAAGAGAUGCCGCAAUUAAUGCGGCCGUUACUGAAGAGCGCUGACAUCCGGCGCUGAUUUACCGACGGGGGCCGACGUGGGCGAGCGCGGUGCAGGUGCGCGCGGGCAUUGACACAAUGAUCGCUCAUAUUAGUGGCUCCUCCCAAGCGUUUCAUUGUCUAAAAAGGCCGGGCCGUCUCUUCAAGCCCCAGCGGCUCACACUAUUUUUACGCCGCGUUCAGGUGCUGAUGAAGCUUAAACCCAACACCGGACAGUGCACAGCGGAUCAGUCGUCUUAAGCCUUUCCACCGUGUGCUGAGUUACAGUCUGAGCAAAGUCCACGUUCAGCUUAACCUCCAACAAAACACAGCCAAAAGAAGUCAAAUGCACAGAAAUCUGAGUCCCUGGAGACACAGCGAGAGCAUCUGAAGCAGAUUUCAUUAUGAGACGUAUCGGAGGCUGAUAAAACAUCCAGUACUGUGGUCCAGAGUCUAAGCUUGAAGCGUUCGUAUUAUGACCAGCAAACAGGGAUUGGACCGGCACCAAACCAACGAGAGGGAGCAUGGCUUUAGUGUGUUCUGUCUAAUGAUGCAAAAAUCUCCAGCCACUUUAAAAAAAAAAGGUCACCAGAGAGGAAGUAGGAAGCACGAAGGGCUCAUUCUGCCCAGGAGGGAAGCGUUUAGUUGAAGUAGCACUUCAGUCUGUUGCUUUACUAUAAAUACUGUCUAAAUACUGUACAGUGCGUUGAUGUUCGCGUCCGUCGAUUACUUUGCUUUUCGUAUCCUCUUUGAACGCAUGAGCAGUGAUCUUCGUUUUUAACAGUACUUUGAUACUUUGCUUGACUUUACCUAUUUGUAUUUUUGGAGUUGUGAAGUUUAUGUUCCUUCUUUCAUCAAAUUACCUUUGCAGCUCAUAAUUCUGUGCAAUGGGUUCUGGUUUCUGUCGAGUACCUAUUCUUAUUCUUCCUAAUAAUUAGAUUCUGAUUCACGCCGGCCCGUUUGCACCGGCGACGCCACUGUAGCGUGUGGUAGCAGCGUAAUUAGUGGCUUCCAGAAGAGAACAGAAUCCAGCGAUAAAGAGCCAUUCUGAGCCCAGACAGAGGCACGUCUUAUUGAUCACGAGUAUAUAACCUUUUAAACUUUAAUGCAGGUUAAUUACUUUUGCUUAAUGCGAGGUGCGACUGCAGUCGAAUGUGCUGAGCCACACCAACGCGUCUCUUUAAUGGAAAAUGAGCAGCUUCUAGGAGGGAAUUUCAGCAUGUUCAUUAUGAUAAUCGUGUUAAUCUUAGCCACUGCCACUCUGCGUGGAAUAAUAAAUUCCGGAAGAAAAUUACAGAUCAUCAGCAGGGGAAGCUCCGCGUGCUUCGGUGUAUUCCCUGAGUAAUAAUGGAUUUCAAUUUCUUAAUUUACGGUUGGAGUUGUGAUCAAAAUAGCACCUUAACGCCCGACAUAUGCGACACCAGCGGAGCAGAACGCUAUCAAGCUCUUUCCUGGCGGAUCCCACAAUUAAAAUGACAUUAGAUACUCAGUGCAGUACAUUUUUCAACCCAAACCUUGUUAUUAUUCCUACAUAAAUCUCUAAUCUAAUCAUGAGCAGAUUACAGUGUGAAACCACUCGGGCACUUGAACGUCUGCCAGGACGAGAGCAGCGGCGGCAGCUCUUGCUCAUCGCGGCCGCAGACGGAGGCCGAGCGCCUGACACAUCGCCUCAAACCGCAUCGAUCUGCAUCGGGAGGACGCAACGCCUGGUCCGACGCACUUUUACAACACUACAGAGUGAAACCAGAAAUCAGACGAGCACAGGUCGGCGCCGCGCGACGUUGCGACUCGACGCCGAUGACAGAUGGAAAACUACGACGCAUUUAUAACCGUCGGUUAACGGCAGCGCUGACGAGGCGCUUUCUCCGCUCGCUUCGAGGAGCCGGGCCGCGUCCCGUUCUGCAGUGAUACCUCGCAGACAUAAAUGCAAGGUUUUCCAAAAGAAGAGCCUCCAAGGACUGAGAUUCUACCAAAACGGAGUCUGUGCAGCCCCCCACCCCCACCCCACCCUCCAUGUCCAAACUGGUUACGAGCUGCCGGGAGAAGGCGUCCGAGCGUUGGCAUGUGGGAGGAGAGAUGCUAAGACUUAAUGACACCGAGCUCAUUAAAAGAUGCCAUUUGGACAAAAAAAGGGACAGAUCUUGUGUGGGAUGCACUUGGUCCGUCAACAACGAGAACACAUGCUGUCGGUCACUGCAGCUUCUCCGCCUCCUCCGGACGUCAACAGGGAAUGUGCAGCAGUAAUGCUUUACAGGAAAACUAAUCACUGGAAGGAGUUCAUAUUUUCAUUUCUCCUUAUGUACUGUGAUACACUUCACUGAAUCUAAUGAAGCACAUGAUCAGACUUGGCUCCUUGUUUCCUGUCGGCACAGGAAAGUGAUGUCAUCAAACAGUGACAUCACAAGGUGUCCUAGUAAUCCUCACAGGCAAAACAGGUGUAGAAGGCUUCCUAAUAAGUACUAAUCUGUGGUUAAUCCUACCACUUCUUCAGCUUCUGGAUAAUUCCCAGCCGUGACUCUGAGAUACGUGAUAAAUAAGAGCCCAGGGUUCAUUUUGGCAGCCUGUGUUACGAGGACGGCAGCUGAAACACCAUGAAGGUGACGCGUCGGAGGUAAAGGUCCUAAACGUGGAAACCCGGGGAAAGCGCUGAUGGUGGUGGCGAUGAUGCGUUCAAGCAGCCCCGGUAAACAGAGGACCCAACCGUCUGUCUGCAGAGUAAUCUACAG